rnacentral:lncRNA from 1 species
ACCCACUCCACUAGAAUCCAAAUUCGCAGCAGAGAGAAGAGAGAGAGAGAGAGAGAGAGAGAGAGAGAAGAGAGAGAGGGACCAGGACCAUGACUUCCGCCGUCGCUCGCAGGGGUGCCGCGCUGCCCAGCCUCCUCAAGAAGCUGCUCGCCAAGCCGUCCGCGUCGGGUGCGCCCGUGUCCUUCGCGCUCCGUCCCGCCGCCGUCACCGCCGCUCGCCGCCCGUACAACACCCUGGGCAAGGAGGGCCGCCUCUACGACGACGACGGCUCCUCCUCCUCCUCCAGCGGCGAGAGCGGCAGCGAGUACGAGGACACCGACUCCGACGACCGCCGCCGCGCCCGCGACUUCUUCGUCCCCAGCUUCUCUCAGGGUAUGCCUCCUCGCCUGUCCUGUUCGUGUUAACAACUUAACAUCGUGGGGGCAAAUCGGGGUUCUGAUCAGCUUUUCUCGUUCUUGAUUCUCCAGACGUGCUGGACCAGUUCGGCGCGCACACGAGCCUGGGCCGCCUGCUUUCUGCGCUGGAGGACGCCGCCGCUCCGACCGGCCUCUGCUCCACUGCCGGGGCGUCGCGGCUCGGACGCUGGGUGGCGAAGGUGGACGACGACGCGGUGUACCUCAAGGUGCCGAUGCCGGGGCUGGGGAAGGAGCACGUGAAGGUGUGGGCCGAGCCGAACGGCCUGGUGAUCAAGGGCGAGGGCGACAAGGAGCCCUGGGACGGCGACGACG